rnacentral:rRNA from 1 species
AGUCGAACGAAGAACUGAAUAGUUUACUAUGAUGUUCUUAGUGGCGGACGGGUUAGUAACGCGUGAGCAACUUGCCUCAAAGAGGGGGAUAGUCCUGGGAAACUGGGUUUAAUACCGCAUGUGCUCUUCGGAGUAAAGCUGGCUUCGGCUGGUGCUUUGAGAUAGGCUCGCGUCCUAUCAGCUAGUUGGUGAGGUAACGGCUCACCAAGGCGACGACGGGUAGUUGGUCUGAGAGGACGAUCAGCAACACUGGAACUGAGACACGGCCCAGACACCUACGGGUGGCAGCAGUCGAGAAUCAUUCACAAUGGGGGCAACCCUGAUGGUGCAACGCCGCGUGGAGGAUGAAGGCCCUAGGGUCGUAAACUCCUGUCAUAUGAGAGUAAGGCAUAUUAGUUAAAAGCUGGUAUGUUUGAUAGUAUCAUAAGAGGAAGGGACGGCUAACUUCGUGCCAGCAGCCGCGGUAAUACGAAGGUCCCGAGCGUUAUUCGGAAUCACUGGGCGUAAAGGGAGCGUAGGCUGCGCGGUAAGUCAGAUGUGAAAUCUCAGGGCUCAACCCUGAAACUGCAUCCGAUACUGCCGUGCUAGAGUAAUGGAGAGGUAAGUGGAAUUCUCAGUGUAGCAGUGAAAUGCGUAGAUAUUGAGAGGAAGACCAACGGCGAAGGCAGCUUACUGGACAUUUACUGACGCUGAGGCUCGAAGGCUAGGGUAGCGAAAGGGAUUAGAUACCCCUGUAGUCCUAGCAGUAAACGAUGUGCGCUUGGUGUGGGCAGGUUCGACCCUGUCUGUGCCGGAGCUAACGCGUUAAGCGCACCGCCUGGGGAGUACGGUCGCAAGACUAAAACUCAAAGAAAUUGACGGGGACCCGCACAAGCGGUGGGGUAUGUGGCUUAAUUCGAUGCAACGCGAAGAACCUUACCUAGGCUUGACAUGUAUUGCUAAUCUGCUGAA